GCAUGCUAUACUACCCUGAACAUGCCCAAUCUCGUCUGAUCUUGGAAGUCAAGCAGGGUCAGGCCUGGUUAGUACUUGGAUGGGGACCAUGCUUUUGCAUUUA